rnacentral:rRNA from 1 species
UACGUAGGGGGCAAGCGUUGUCCGGAUUUAUUGGGCGUAAAGAGCGUGUAGGCGGCUUCACAGGUCCGCUGUGAAAACUCGAGGCUCAACCUCGAGAUGUCGGUGGAAACCGUGUGGCUAGAGUCCGGAAGAGGAGAGUGGAAUUCCCGGUGUAGCGGUGAAAUGCGCAGAUAUCGGGAAGAACACCCGUGGCGAAGGCGGUCUGCUGGGCAGUUGCUGACACUGAGGCGCGACAGCGUGGGGAGCAAACAGG